GACAGUUGGACCCAAGCUCACUUCUUUACUUUUUCUGCUUCGGAGUGGUCUGAAGACACACCACUUCAUCUCUCUGGCUAUUGUCUCUCUACAUCAAACUUGAGCUGAAGAAAAAAGAGAGUCUUGCCCAGAAAAGACCUCAGCAGGGUUAUUGCUGUUCUCCCUCAGAGGAAGAAAUUUUAUUCCUUUUUGAAGAGACUUACACCAAAGCCUUCAACAAGUGAUAUAAAUUAGAAUGAGGGGUGAAAAAAAAAAAACCCUCUCCCUCUCUCCCAGUUCCACUGUAUUUCUUUCCCCCAAGAGAAUAAAUAGAUCUUUUUAAAACUAAAGAAACUGUUCUGAAGGUUGUUGUAAUUAGAGGAAGUAAUUGACUUACCCUCUGUGAGGCAAACUUCAUUAAGUUGCUUAGUGAGGAGAACAGGAAGUGAAGGAGGUGCUCUGAAAUCAGCUUCCUUCCUUCAAACUGCUUCCUGGUGUAACAUCUUUUGAUUUCCCUUAUUAUCUCUCACUAAUUUCCCUCUCUAAUACAUUAAGUACUAGAGACACAAGGACAAAGUUGAACCAGUCCCUGUCUUGCAUUCUAAUGGGAAACCAAUACAUAAACAUAUAAGUAUAUCAAGAAUAUAUACAAAAUGAAUAAAAGGAAAUUUUGGGAAGGUGUACCAGGAAAGUUGAAGGUUGGAGGACCAGAAAAGGCUUCAAGAAGAAGGAUGACCUAAAUUUUGAAGGAAAGUGGGAGUUCCAAGAGAUAGAGAGAAUUUUGUAUCAUCAUGACUAAAUGAGACAAGAUUCUUGCUUUUCUUGGAUAAAAGUGACUUUUGGAGAGGACAUGAGGAAGGAAUACAGUGAGAAACAGAAGACACAAAAAUAAAAAAUAUUAAUUAAUUUAAAUGAUUUUAAAAAAGAAAUCAUUUAAUCAAAUGUCAAGAGCUAGAAUGGACCAUAAACCAUAAACAUUCAAUUUAACUGCCUCAUUUUAUGAAAGAAGAAACAGAGUUCUUUUUCACUGGAACAUUCAAAAUAUCUCCCAAAGAUAAUCUUUCUCUGGAACAUUCUUCAAAAAUUACACAUAUGCCUACUCUGUGUAGGGAGGAAUGGGAGAGAGGGAAAUACCUAGGAACUUCACUAUAACAAGCCAGUGGUUAAAAAAUAAAUCACAGUUUUGAAAAAAAAGAAAAUUAUACAUCAUAAAGGAGAAAAGAAGAAAAUAUAUAAACAUAUAUGUGCAAAGAGGUUUUGCAAAUACUUGACCCUUUGGUGUUGCAUACUAUCUCCUCUCUAUUUCCUGACUUCUAUGACCUGGGAACCUGGAAAGAGGGAUCAAAUAGAGCACCCUUGACGUGCCGUGCUUUGAGCACAAUAGUAUUACUGUAGACACAAUAAAGAACACAAGAGUGUGAUGUGCACUUGUGUAGCAGUCAUAUUCACAUUCCAUGACAGGGUGAACUCAGUGGCCCCUGAAUUCCCCAGGGAUUCUGACUGAUACAAAAGGGCCCCAAAGCUUUAAUCAGCUUGUCAUAAAUUUACCUUCUCUCAGCAAAUUUACACAGCUCUUCCUCCACAGCCUGUGGUCUCAUGGCAAAUUUACGGCACGCUGAUUACAGGUUUUGUUUGCCUCCAAGUAGAUAGAAGCCAAAGUGAUUAAAUGGAAUCAAAAUCAAUGCCAA